rnacentral:lncRNA from 1 species
GGUUACUGAGUACUCUCUGCAUACCAUAAAGCCCUUUAGCAAACAAAGGUUGAGUACCUACUGUGGGUCAAAUAUAUACCAGUCACCUGGGCCACGCAGAAGUGAGCCACACAAACCCCAAGAGCGUUUAGAACCCUGCAUCUUUCCAGCACUUAGCUAGAAUUUAGUCUGGGUAGGAAGAUGGGGAAGAGGAACGGGGAAGGGAAGGGUUAAUGAACAGACUAGUCAGUUCGGAAUGAGUACAGAAGAGAUCCCGGAUGAUGGCGGCGAUCCACAAAGCACCCGCCCCAAGUAGGCUUCUCAGAUGUUACUUGAGCUGCUGUGGGCCUUCCCAAGAGGACCCAAGAAGACCAUCCCAAACUGAGAGGACCAGAAAAACUCUGAUGUUGAGGGCUGGGAAUGUAGCUCAGAUGGUAGAACAUUUACCUAGUGCGUACUGAGUCCCCAGACUGAUCGUACAUAUUAGGACAUACCUCGAAUUCCAGCACUCAGGAAGAGGGGCCAGGGGACAAGGAGUUCACAAUCAUCUCUGAGUUGACCGGCAUAGUAAAAUACACCUUUCAUCCCAGCACUGCAGAGGCAGAGGCAGAGGCAGGUGAAUCUCUGUGUGUUCGAAGCCAGUCUGGCCUACAGAGGGAGUUCCACAGAGUAGUAUGCAGUGUGUAGACCUGCCUGAGGUGAGCUCCAUCCUGGGGAGGCACUGAGAGGACGGUAUCUAUGAGGAAGUGAUGCUGGCAUUAGUCUUGAGGGUGAGAGGAGAGGAUGGAGGGGACUGUGUGAAUAAAGACACCAAAAUGUGGCCCUGUGGGGUAAUGGAUUGCUCUGCCAGCCAUCUUGGGCAGAAGCGUGGCUCACUUGAUGCCACUGCCGGCUGGUGGACUGGUGCAGCCUUUUAACAUGUUGAUACAAUGUCUUCAUCUCCGAAGUUAAACUAUUCAAUUAAGUUACAAACAAAAAACC